rnacentral:rRNA from 1 species
GAUGAACGCUGGCGGCGUGCCUAAUACAUGCAAGUCGAGCGAACGGACGAGAAGCUUGCUUUUCUGGUGUUAGCGGCGGACGGGUGAGUAACACGUGGAUAACCUACCUAUAAGACUGGGAUAACUUCGGGAAACCGGAGCUAAUACCGGAUAAUAUUUUGAACCGCAUGGUUCAAAAGUGAAAGACGGUCUUGCUGUCACUUAUAGAUGGAUCCGCGCUGCAUUAGCUAGUUGGUAAGGUAACGGCUUACCAAGGCAACGAUGCAUAGCCGACCUGAGAGGGUGAUCGGCCACACUGGCACUGAGACACGGUCCAGACUCCUACGGGAGGCAGCAGUAGGGACUCUUCCGCAAUGGGCGAAAGCCUGACGGAGCAACGCCGCGUGAGUGAUGAAGGUCUUCGGCUCGUAAAACUCUGUUAUUAGGGAAGAACAUAUGUGUAAGUAACUGUGCACAUCUUGACGGUACCUAAUCAGAAAGCCACGGCUAACUACGUG